GAUCCGUUUAGGAUUUUCUUGAGCACCCCAGAUUAAUCAUGAGAAAACAUUGGCCACAUGAGAUGUGCCAACACAAUAAUACAGCAUGUGUCACAAGUAAGGCCAAGUGUCAGGGAAAAAAAUUCUCUCUCCCCUACACGCUCUCUCAGUCUCUCUCUAGCCGAACUCCCUCUCUACUUCGCUGCCCCUCUCUGUCCCACCGACUUGUCCGACCGACAAAUCACCACACCGCUCCUCCAGUUCCUGCUUGUCCUACUCUCUCUCUCUCUCUCUCUCUCUCGCCCCCCAUCUCCCCGCCCAAUGCUCUCGACUCUACCCCACUCUCUCCCUCUAACAAACCACCGAGCCCUCGUCCGACCAACGAGCCAUUGUGCCGCCCCUCCAACUCGUCCGUUGCCUCCAUCGUCGCCAAAUUGCUGCCCCUUCGCAUCUAUGCCCUCCCUCUCUCCCUUCAAGUCGCGACCAAACCCUCGUCUGACAAACCACUGUGCAAUCUCUACUUCCGUCUUGAAAGGCGUCUGGUGGCCCGUUGGAUGAUGAGCUGGGAACACGACAAACUCUUCUUCUAGGAUAUCAGGUGGUCUUGCUCCACCAUAUUGGUGGAUCCGCUACAUACAGCAUUACCCGGCGCGUAGCCUCCGCUGUUGUUUGGCGGUUGGAAUAUGGCAACAAUAAGUUCCGCACUAAAACCCGCACUGGUAAUUCGGUAUUGCACUCCGAAUGUUUGCGCCGUGACCUCUUCGCCUGUUCAAAUCUGGAUAUGGAGUUUUGUUAUGGGGGUUAGACGGGUAAAGUUUUUGGUGUUGAGCUAAUUGGCAAAACGAAGUGAAUGGAUAUGUUAGUUUGAUUUGAUUUGGUUUGUAGAUGGUUGUGAAAACCCCACAUUUAAAGAGAAGUUGUGUUCACACUCGUUAAAGAGCUUAGGGAGUUGAAUCUUGUGACGUGGAACCGGCACCAUCCUCACUUUUGACAACCUCGUCAACGGUGGAAAGUAAUUGCUUCCUACUUUGAAUCCAUUUUGCUAACAAAACUGUUGUUGAGUUGUUUUGGAUUUUGAUCCUUGA